AUGAAAAGACAUGCAAGAAUCUUAAAUGUUCUAAGUGAAAGAAGCCAAUCUGAAAGGCUACAUACUAUAUGAUUCCAACUAUAUGACAUUCUGGAAAAGGCAAAACUUUGGAGAAAGUAAAGAGAUCACUGGUUGCUAGGGUUGGCAGAGAGAGGGAGAUAAAUAGAUGGGGCACAGGAUUUUUAGGGCAGUGAAAGUACUCUGUACGAUACCAUAAUGAGGGAUACAUGUCAUUAUACAUUUGUCCAAACCCAUAGAAUGUACAACACCCAGAGUGAACUGAAACUUGAACUGUAGACUUUGGGUGACGAUGUGUCGUGGUAGGUUCAUCAGUUGUAACAAACAUACCAGUCUGGUGGGGGCUGUUGAUGGUGGGCAAGGCUGUGUGUGUGAGAGAGUAUACAGAUACUGUCUCCUCAAUUUUUCUGUGAAUCUUAAACUUCUCUAAAAAUAAUAAAGAAAAGAUAAUUUUUAAUCAUGAUUUAUUCCCAAGAACAUACUAGAUACUUUCUCCUUCACCAAAAACUUGUGGCUGGUACUAGGGCAGGGAAAGGAUUUUUUUCUGAGUUUCCCCAAAUACAGAUCGAUCAUUUACGUCUUGUUACUAAGGAGAAAAGCAUUUUAUACUCAUUAAAGUGUAAAUUUACUUGGGUCGAAUUCGUCAUCAAAAAACACUGGAAAGUCUUUCCAUUUAAUUUUGACUUAAACUUCAUUCAGUUUAGUGUAUAUAGUUAAUAUUUGUUGUUUUCGUUAGAGACUUUCAAACCUUUCUUAUACAGUGACUUCAAAGUUCCUGGAAGUUUUCCAUGAAAAACCAAAGGCAGACAAAUUUUGAAACUUAAAUAGAUUUGGGAAGUAUUUGGACUGUAUAUCCUUCUUGCAGCAUAGUAAAGUUUAUGAGAAUUUGCUCAGAUACACACACACACAAACACACACACACACAGCCACAUACACACAAAUGACAGAAUGACCACAAACUUUUUGCUUUGUUCAACCCAAACUUCCAACUUCUUUGGCCACAGAUCCUUUUUUUUGAAACCAUAUUCUUUAUUAUCCACUUUGAGAGGUAUUGCUCUACAACGCACGGCACAGCAUUGCUGAAUUAGUGUGGCCAGCUCACUAGAAGGUAGUCAUAAAAUGGAAGAUUCAGAGCAAAGAUGAUGAGUGAAAAUAUUAGAAUGUUUAUUUUUUGCGUUAGAGACAGUUUUCAAGUUAUAUUAGAGCUGAAUAAGUGUAUUCAACUCUCUGCUUUCAAAAAACGCUGGUACUUUUGGGUCAUUUUUGGAUGGGUCGUUUGUCAGCAGGAGGGUGUCGUUACAGGGCAUUGGUGAUGUUAGUGCAUUACUGCCAACUCUCCAUGCUCAGCUCACUCUCCUUUCAGGGCUCCCUCAGGCUGGACGAGAUGACGGUAAAUUCUGUGAGUCUGCGAGAUGGCUAGAAUCUUUGAGGAGCCCCCUCUGCACCUUACCAAGCUUAUGGGCUUUGGUCCUUAUUGUGAAACAUUAGUGACCAGCAGUCAUUGCUUCACCCUUGGGCCCCUGUGACCUCUGAUCAGACUCAGUUGGCUGUAAAUCUAAGACCACUUUUACAGGAAAAAAAAAUUACAUAUUUUGUUAUUCAAAUAGGAUGAUACUAACUUUGGUUAUCCACUCCUACCUUGAGAUUGUAAAAGGCACUGACAAACAUGACUAUAGAGUGUAUGAACUGUGUCCUAUGAAACAGAGCUUGUUAAUAAAAUAAAUACCUCUCAGCUGUAGGUGAUCUCAUAUGUCCAUCUGGGCUCCCUGGGUUGCCCUGAGCCUGACAAAGAGGCCCAUGGCCUGGGGACCAGGACAGCAGCAGCCAUACAAGGCCAGGGAGCGCACCGCAAAAUUGUGAGGGAAGAAUAUUACAGCCAGGCCCAGAUGCAUCGUUUCUUCCAGUCACUGCUCUUCUGUGAAAAUUCUUUUUAAACAAACACAUAUUUUUGUCCCCAGUAUAGUGCUUGAUGCUUUCCCUACUAGGAAGUUAAUAGAAAAUUUGUUUUCCUAGCAUCUCUUUCGGAUGAACUUUCACCAUUGCAGAGUCACUCAGAAAAGAGUUCAUUCUGCGAACACUACUCCUGGAUCCGUGUCCCCCAAAUGUCAUUUGGCCCACAAUAUGGAAGAACUCACCAGCAGUGAUGGAUGAACUUGUCUCUGACACUUCCUGGAGCCUGAGAGGAAUUUCAACCUCUGCCGAACUCUUCCCUACAGCUGCAUAAGUUCACGGGGAGGAAGACGAAUCCUCUACCCUCUGGGAAUAAAAGCUUUCAGAUGCUGAUGUUGGAUAAUGCCCUGCAGAAAGGACAGGCAACUCAAACUGAGAAGAGGUGUUGAUUUUAGUGAAGGCGAAUCACUGUCCCUUGCAGAAUGGAAAUCUCCUAAUGCAAUCAACUUACCAACAAGUGACUGAUAAGUCUCUUCCAAUGAAGAUCUUCUGUUUCACUCUUUUGAUGAUUUGCAUCUUCUGGACAUCAAGUUUGACAAAUGAGGGGCUACCAGCCUCUACCUGCCUGUUUGUGGGGGUCUCCAGAAUGAGGCCUCUGUCAGGUGGCGGGACAGGUGCUCUUGCUGGCACUUGUACUGUGAUGAAGUGGGGAAGAACAAGGCCUUGAUAAUCCUCCACCACUGGGAGAGGAACAGAAUGGGACAAUGAUGGAUAGAAAUAUUUUCUGUUUUCCUUCUUUGAAGAAUGCAAAGAAGGUAUUUCUAUGUGAGACCCACCGUGGAUUUCUUCCAUCACUGUUCAUCUGCUCAAGAAACACACACAUUCUCAGACCUACAGAUGCAUAUCUGAGCUUCAUCAGGUGGUGGUAAGAAUGGAUUAUUCUGGAGAUAGGGAAGUUACACUAGGAAGAACCCCAGUGCACACGGGAUGGCAAGGAUGGUAUCAAUCGCCCAGCAAGCGGAGCUGGAGCUCAGCCAGGCAAAAUCUCCAGAGGAACCACCGGUAUCUGUAGAAGGCAAUUUGAAAUCAGCACUGUGAUUGGAAUUACUGAGUUCCCUGAAGUAAUUAAAAGUUUGGAAAUGCCAUCGUACAAAGUCAGGAAACUUUUUAUGCCUCUGGGAUAAGGGCCCCAGAUCCAAUUAUGCUGAUGGCACUCCAGGAAGACUUUUUUUCCUCCUUCCUUUGCUCCUGCUGGAACUUUGCAUUCUUAGGUGACUGAAAGACAUCAGGGGAAGCAUUUCCAUGUCCUGCUUGAAUUUCUGCAAACUUCAAAAUGCCUAAAAUUCUUGAAAAGAGCAGCUGUAGAGAUAAGAAUUAUUUAGGAAUGCCAUAUGUUCAUGGCAAUAUGGAACUAGCAGCUGUGGACACUUGAGGGAACUUCCACCUGGAGCCCUGGGGAGACUUCAAGGAGGAGGCAAUUUCUUGCCAGGCUUUGAACAAUGGCUGAGAAUUUACACACGAAGACACAGCUGUGUUAUACUUUCAAUGGAAUAACUUCUGGACUGAAAUAGUGGCCUUCUUGAAAACCAGACAAGCUGUAUCUGGGUCUUGGUGAUAUGGUCCUACUGUUGGAAAUGUAGUGUCACAGCUUUCAGAUGCUGAUGUUGGAUAAUGCCCUGCAGAAAGGACAGGCAACUCAAACUGAGAAGAGGUGUUGAUUUUAGUCGAGGAGAAUCACUGUCCCUUGCAGAAUGGAAAUGUCUAAUGCAAUCAACUUACCAACAAGUGACUGAUAAGUCUCUUCCAAUGAAGCUCCCACCACCCAAAACUCUGAGGACUCAGCCUAACAUCCUGUCACCACCACCACCUCUCAGCCUUCCAGUGUACUCACCGUCUUCCUGAUUCUGGUAAGUGAAGCUACACUGCGCAUACAUUAUUUCUACUUUCUGGAGACUGUAUAUUUAUCAUAUCAUACCUGCUUUUACUAUAUGAGUUACUUUA